GCUUAUGGCCACACCGCCUUGUUCACGCCUGAUCUCGGAAGCUAAGAUAGGUUGGGCCUGGUUAGUACUUGGAUGGGAGACAGCCUGGGAAUACCAGGUGCUGUAAGCU
ensembl:rRNA 5S_rRNA 5S ribosomal RNA